UUAAGUCCGUAACGAGCGCAACCUUGUCCUUAGUUACCAGCACGUUAUGGUGGGCACUCUAAGGAGACUGCCGGUGCAACCGAGGAAGUGGGAUGACGUCAAGUCAUCAUGGCCCUUACGGCCUGGGCUACACACGUGCUACAAUGGUCGGUACAAAGGGUUGCCAAGCCGCGAGGUGGAGCUAAUCCCAUAAAACCGAUCGUAGUCCGGAUCGCAGUCUGCAACUCGACUGCGUGAAGUCGGAAUCGCUAGUAAUCGUGAAUCAGAAUGUCACGGUGAAUACGUUCCCGGGCCUU
rnacentral:rRNA from 1 species